rnacentral:rRNA from 1 species
GACGAACGCUGGCGGCGUGCUUAACACAUGCGAGUCGAACGGAAAGGCCCUGCUUUUGUGGGGUGCUCGAGUGGCGAACGGGUGAGUAACACGUGAGUAACCUGCCCUUGACUUUGGGAUAACUUCAGGAAACUGGGGCUAAUACCGGAUAGGAGCUCCUGCUGCAUGGUGGGGGUUGGAAAGUUUCGGCGGUCGGGGAUGGACUCGCGGCUUAUCGGCUUGUUGGUGGGGUAGUGGCUUACCAAGGCUUUGACGGGUAGCCGGCCUGAGAGGGUGACCGGCCACAUUGGGACUGAGAUACGGCCCAGACUCCUACGGGAGGCAGCAGUGGGGAAUAUUGCACAAUGGGCGGAAGCCUGAUGCAGCAACGCCGCGUGCGGGAUGACGGCCUUCGGGUUGUAAACCGCUUUCGCCUGUGACGAAGCGUGAGUGACGGUAAUGGGUAAAGAAGCACCGGCUAACUACGUG